rnacentral:lncRNA from 1 species
GGCUCUACUAACUUCGUUUAAAAAAAAAAUUCUAUUUUACAAUCUUUAAAAAAUUCUAACGAAACAAGAUGUUAGAAGUAUAAUAAAAUUAUGGAGUACCUCGUUUAAUCAUCGCAGAAAUCAUGAAAAUUUAAUAACAAAAAUAAAAGAUAAGACAACAAAUUAUAAGAUACAAGCAUGCAAAAAGAUAAAAGUAAAAUUCCUGGUACUGUAAACUAUAAACUUUAAACAUCAUUUGCCCUCCACAUUUUUGUGCAUAAUAACAUCUUUCACAUCUCUAUUAUACUCUUUUACUAACAUUUCUCUAUUGCAAUUUUAUUAUUCUAUAUUUACAAAAAAAAAAAAAAAAAUCUCCUGCACGUUUUCUUUAAGUAUUUUUUUUUCGUCAAGUUUUUUUUUUAUUCUAAGUGUUUCUAAUGUAUUGCUUCCGCCUUUUUAUAUCUCUAUCUUUUACUAAACAAACAAUAUGAUCUAAAACUAAACAUUUCACGUGAAUAUACAUGCAUGCAUGCAUGAGUCGUAAAUUAAAGUUUAUAACAUAAUUAUACACUAAUUGCACAUCGACUAAAUGUAACUUUACAUUUUUAACACCAACAAUUUUGAAAUUAUCUCAUUUAAAGUUCAAACAAACCUAACUAACAUAUAUAAUAAACUGCAUGUACAAAAUAAUAUAAAAAGGUAUUGAAAUUACUUCAUUUAUACUUUAAUUCCCAACAAAACUUAUAAUAGUAUAAAUUAAAUUGAAUAAGAACCUGUAUGAUAAAUUAUACAAAGUAAAGAAGCGAAAUACCGUCUUCAAAAACUCGAUCAAGAACCCGAAUUCAACUUUUCAAAGAAUUCUCCAUGUUUUUUUAUUUAUUUUUGGUUUCUCCGUUUUCCUUUUUGGAAUAUGUUGAUUGUUGUUCUUCCUUUUUCACUUAGUUUUUUUUUCUCCUUUCUUGGUUUUCUCUUUUCUGAUUCUCUCUCUUUUUUUUUCUGUUCUUAGUCUUUUUUGUUGUCUUUUUUUUUUUUUUGAUUUUUGUCCACAAAAUGUUUCCUCUUUUUCCCUCUAAGUCUUUUUUGUUUUUUUUUAUUGUUUCUCUCCCG